rnacentral:rRNA from 1 species
AGUGAACGCUGGCGGUAGGCCUAACACAUGCAAGUCGAACGGCAGCACAGUAAGAGCUUGCUCUUACGGGUGGCGAGUGGCGGACGGGUGAGGAAUACAUCGGAAUCUACUUUUUCGUGGGGGAUAACGUAGGGAAACUUACGCUAAUACCGCAUACGACCUACGGGUGAAAGCAGGGGAUCUUCGGACCUUGCGCGAUUGAAUGAGCCGAUGUCGGAUUAGCUAGUUGGCGGGGUAAAGGCCCACCAAGGCGACGAUCCGUAGCUGGUCUGAGAGGAUGAUCAGCCACACUGGAACUGAGACACGGUCCAGACUCCUACGGGAGGCAGCAGUGGGGAAUAUUGGACAGUGGGCGCAAGCCUGAUCCAGCCAUACCGCGUGGGUGAAGAGGCCUUCGGGUUGCAAAGCCCUUUUGUUGGGAAAGAAAAGCAGCAGGUUAAUACCCCGCUGUUCUGACGGUACCCAAAGAAUAAGCACCGGCUAACUUCGUG